rnacentral:lncRNA from 1 species
GGCUUACUGUUUUUUUUCGAUUAUUUUUUACUUAUUUAUGAUUUUAAAAAAGGGAGAAGGUGAUACCACUGCGAAUUUUAUUUAUUUAUUUAUUUUAUUUAGCCCUAAUAAAGUGAUGCGUUUCAAAGGAUGGAGAUAUUUUCCCAUUCGAGCCCUAUGAGUUAUAUUCACGCCUUUUAAUUGGGCCCUUCAUUUUUUUUAAAUUAUGUUGAUUUUCAAUUUAAUCCUUAAUCUUUCAUUUUAGGUUUUUA